rnacentral:rRNA from 1 species
UACGUAGGGGGCAAGCGUUGUCCGGAUUUAUUGGGCGUAAAGGGCGCGUAGGCGGCUUGGCAAGUGGAUGGUGAAAUCCCUCGGCUUAACCGAGGAACUGCCGUCCAAACUGCUUAGCUUGAGACCGGGAGAGGUGAGUGGAAUUCCCAGUGUAGCGGUGAAAUGCGUAGAUAUUGGGAGGAACACCAGUGGCGAAGGCGGCUCACUGGUCCAUUACUGACGCUGAGGUGCGAAAGCGUGGGGAGCAAACAGG